rnacentral:rRNA from 1 species
AUUGAACGCUGGCGGCAUGCUUUACACAUGCAAGUCGAACGGCAGCGCGGGCUUCGGCCCGGCGGCGAGUGGCGAACGGGUGAGUAAUGCAUCGGAACGUGCCCAGUAGUGGGGGAUAGCCCGGCGAAAGCCGGAUUAAUACCGCAUACGACCUGAGGGUGAAAGCGGGGGACCGAAAGGCCUCGCGCUAUUGGAGCGGCCGAUGUCGGAUUAGCUAGUUGGUGGGGUAAAGGCUUACCAAGGCGACGAUCCGUAGCUGGUCUGAGAGGACGACCAGCCACACUGGGACUGAGACACGGCCCAGACUCCUACGGGAGGCAGCAGUGGGGAAUGUUGGACAAUGGGGGCAACCCUGAUCCAGCCAUGCCGCGUGCGGGAAGAAGGCCUUCGGGUUGUAAACCGCUUUUGUUCGGGAAGAAAUCCUCUGGGCUAAUACCCCGGGGGGAUGACGGUACCGGAAGAAUAAGCACCGGCUAACUACGUG